rnacentral:rRNA from 1 species
UACGAAGGGGGCUAGCGUUGUUCGGAAUUACUGGGCGUAAAGGGCGCGUAGGCGGCGUGUCAAGUCAGGCGUGAAAGCCCCGGGCUCAACCUGGGAACCGCGCUUGAGACUGGCAUGCUCGAGUUCGGGAGAGGAUGGUGGAAUUCCCAGUGUAGCGGUGAAAUGCGUAGAUAUUGGGAAGAACACCUGAGGCGAAGGCGGGUUGCUGGGCCGACACUGACGCUGAGGCGCGAAAGCCAGGGGAGCGAACGGG